rnacentral:rRNA from 1 species
GGUUAAGUGAAUAAGGGCGCACGGUGGAUGCCUUGGCACUAGGAGCCGAUGAAGGACGGGACUAACACCGAUAUGCUUUGGGGAGCUGUAAGUAAGCUAUGAUCCAGAGAUUUCCGAAUGGGGGAACCCAAUAUCUUUUAUAGGAUAUUACUUUUCAGUGAAUACAUAGCUGAUUAGAGGUAGACGCAGAGAACUGAAACAUCUUAGUACCUGCAGGAAGAGAAAGAAAAUUCGAUUCCCUGAGUAGCGGCGAGCGAAACGGGAAGAGCCCAAACCAACAAGCUUGCUUGUUGGGGUUGUAGGACUCCAAUAUGGUAGUCUGUUAGUAUAGUUGAAGGAUUUGGAAAAUUCCGCUAAAGAGGGUGAAAGCCCCGUAGACGAAAUGCUAACAACACCUAGGAGGAUCCUGAGUACGGCGGAACACGAGAAAUUCCGUCGGAAUCCGCGGGGACCAUCCCGCAAGGCUAAAUACUCCCUAGUGACCGAUAGUGAACCAGUACCGUGAGGGAAAGGUGAAAAGCACCCCGGAAGGGGAGUGAAAUAGAUCCUGAAACCGUGUGCCUACAACAAGUCAAAGCUCGUUAAUGAGUGAUGGCGUGCCUUUUGUAGAAUGAACCGGCGAGUUACGAUUGCAUGCGAGGUUAAGUCGAAGAGACGGAGCCGCAGCGAAAGCGAGUCUGAAUAGGGCGAAUGAGUAUGUAGUCGUAGACCCGAAACCAUGUGAUCUACCCAUGUCCAGGUUGAAGGUGCGGUAAAACGCACUGGAGGACCGAACCCACGUACGUUGAAAAGUGCGGGGAUGAGGUGUGGGUAGCGGAGAAAUUCCAAACGAACUUGGAGAUAGCUGGUUCUCUCCGAAAUAGCUUUAGGGCUAGCCUCGGAAUUGAGAAUGAUGGAGGUAGAGCACUGUUUGGACUAGGGGCCCAUCUCGGGUUACCGAAUUCAGAUAAACUCCGAAUGCCAUUCAUUUAUAUCCGGGAGUCAGACUGCGAGUGAUAAGAUCCGUAGUCGAAAGGGAAACAGCCCAGACCACCAGCUAAGGUCCCAAAAUAUAUGUUAAGUGGAAAAGGAUGUGGGGUUGCACAGACAACUAGG